UACGAAGGGGGCUAGCGUUGUUCGGAGUUACUGGGCGUAAAGAGCUCGUAGGCGGUGUGUCGCGUCGGCCGUGAAAACCUGCAGCUUAACUGUGGGCUUGCGGUCGAUACGGGCAUCACUGGAGUUCGGCAGGGGAGACUGGAAUUCCUGGUGUAGCGGUGAAAUGCGCAGAUAUCAGGAGGAACACCGGUGGCGAAGGCGGGUCUCUGGGCCGAUACUGACGCUGAGGAGCGAAAGCGUGGGGAGCGAACAGG
rnacentral:rRNA from 1 species